GGGGAUGUGGCUCAGUGAUAGAGCACUUGUCUGUCACACGCAAGGCCCUGGGUUCAAUCCCUAGCACCUCAA
rnacentral:tRNA from 1 species